CCUACGGGAGACUGCAGUGGGGGAUAUUGCACAAUGGGGGGAACCCUGAUGCAGCGACGCCGCGUGGGUGAAGAAGCGCCUCGGCGCGUAAAGCCCUGUCAGCAGGGAAGAAAAUGACGGUACCUGAAGGAGAAGCCCCGGCUAACUACGUGCCAGCAGCCGCGGUAAUACGUAGGGGGCAAGCGUUAUCCGGAUUUACUGGGUGAAAAGGGGGCGCAGACGGCGAUGCAAGCCAGGAGUGAAAGCCCGGGGCCCAACCCCGGGACUGCUCGUGGAACUGCGUGGCUGGAGGGCAGGAGGGACAGGCGGAAUUCCUGGUGUAGCGGUGAAAUGCGUAGAUAUCAGGAGGAACACCGGUGGGGAAGGCGGCGUGCUGGACUGCAACGGACGUUGAGGCCCGAAAGCGUGGGGAGCAAACAGGAUUAGAUACCCAGUAGUC
rnacentral:rRNA from 1 species